AUACGGGGGGUGCUAGCGUUAUUCGGAAUUAUUGGGCGUAAAGGGUGUGUAGACGGCGCAUUAAGUCAACUGUUAAAUUCUCCGGCCUAACUGGAGGUCAGCGGUAGAAACUGGUGUGCUAGAGGGUGAGAGAGAGAAGUGGAAUUCUCGGAGUAGCGGUAAAAUGCGUAGAUCUCGAGAGGAACACCGAUGGCGAAGGCAGCUUCUUGGCUCAUUCCUGACGUUGAGACACGAAAGCGUGGGGAGCAAACAGGAUUAGAAACCCCGGUAGUCC
rnacentral:rRNA from 1 species